UUUUGAACCGGCCCUGGCCGGUCAUAGUUGCCGUCAUUUGCACUCCCAGUCUCCCUUCCUCACUUCUACUUUCUCUUCUCCAUCAACAAUGCCCUGAUCAAGUGUUGCUUGUUUUUCUAGCAGAAACACUCCCUCAAUAAGCUAAAAAAUGUUGUCGUUUUUGCUCUCUCGCGCUUCACGCAACACCACCACUAGAAGGUUACUCAGUUCCUCUCUCUCCUCUUCGCUUUCUCUUUUCAACGACACAGUCAUCGUCUCUCCAAGUCGCCCAUCAGAACCAAACCCUAAGACUAACCAGAUCAUCCGUACACUUUACCCAUUUACUCAAUCUUACUACUGGAGGAAUUUCGAAUUUUCCCGCAACUAUCUGAACUCUAAUUACUCCAAUUUGAGGUUUGUUGGAGGAAUUUCCACUUUGUCGAGCCCGAAGAACGAGGAUAAUCGGGAGAAUGGAGGGUUGUCGAAAGAAGGAGAGGUGUCUUGGAUUGAUUUGUACUUGCCGAGACUGGUUCGCCCUUAUGCACGGCUUGCUCGACUUGAUAAGCCGAUAGGAACUUGGCUGCUUGCUUGGCCUUGUAUGUGGUCGAUUACGUUGGCAGCAACCCCAGGGCACCUUCCUGAUUUUAAGAUGAUGACUUUAUUUGGUUGCGGGGCUUUGCUUUUAAGGGGUGCUGGAUGUACCAUAAAUGAUCUCCUUGAUAGAGAUAUUGAUACCAAGGUGGAGCGUACGAAGUUGAGACCAGUUGCAAGUGGUCUUUUGUCACCAUUUCAAGGGCUUUGUUUUCUUGGUUUUCAAUUGCUCUUGGGUCUUGGAAUUCUCCUUCAACUAAAUAAUUAUAGCCGCAUUUUGGGAGCUUCAUCCUUGUUGCUAGUCUUCUCCUAUCCCCUCAUGAAGAGAUUGACAUUUUGGCCUCAAGCCUAUCUAGGUUUGACAUUUAACUGGGGAGCUUUGUUAGGUUGGUCUGCUAUUAAGGGAAGUUUAGAUCCAGCUAUUGUUUUGCCACUGUACAUGAGUGGAGUAUUUUGGACCCUUGUGUAUGAUACAAUAUAUGCACAUCAGGAUAAGGAGGAUGAUCUCAAAGUGGGUGUUAAAUCAACUGCCCUGAGAUUUGGGGAUUCAACAAAGGAAUGGAUCACUGGGUUUGGAAUUGCAUGCAUUAGUAGUCUUGCCCUCAGUGGAGUCAAUGCUAAUAUUGGAUGGCCGUUUUAUGCAUUUUUGGCAGCUGCUUCUGGACAUUUAGCUUGGCAAAUAUGGACAGUUGACCUAUCUUGUCGUGCUGAUUGCAACAGAAAGUUUGUGUCAAAUAAAUGGUUUGGUGCAUUAAUUUUUAGCGGGAUUUUGUUUGGUAGAUACUUGUGAUAGAGGUAUGGUUACCUUUCGCUGAACAUAACCUGUGUAUUCUAGAUUUGCUCUUUGGUUUCCUAGGCAAGGUUAAAAAAUAAAAACUGGUUAUUCUAUAGAUUUUUUGCUGUGGUGAAAGGAACCCAAAAAUCAAUCUCUCUCAUUCUCUCAUAUGCUAAAGAUGAUUCAUGGUUAUAAAUCACAGGUGUCAUGGACAUGAACAUUUCAUCUCUAUUCAAUUGAAUUGCUUGUAAUACUUAUAUUUUUGAGGUUUUACUAAAUUAUAUUUGAUAUACUUAUAAAUUGGUCAAUAUGGAAUUUAAUUGAAUUGAACAUGAGCAUUCAUGGGGUUUCCAAAUAGAGUUGAUGAGCAUAUGCCUCUUCUGUUAAAUGCAAAAAAGGACAACAACAGCAUGGGCUCUACUAUAUGCCUUUGGAAUCUAUAUCUUAACUAUGGAUGACUUAUGCAGUGUCUUGUGGUGUGUUGCAGUUGAACUUUUCAACAUUGUUUUGAAAACAUGCAGCAGAAAAUCUUUGAACAAGCUUUGAAUAUUAUUCCAUUAUAAUGUGUCAGAAACUGACAAUGGGAUUGGGAGACUAACCCAUUAUCAAUCUUCAAACUAGAUAACCAAACAGGAAGGCAUUCAAAGUUAAUUUGUGAAGGGAUUCAAUGUGCAGACUCCUGGAUUCUCAUUGAUUGAUAUUUGCCUUCCUAACUUCAUGCUCCCGCAUAGUUUCUGCCUUUCUGUGACUGUAAUGUGUAUCA
rnacentral:misc_RNA from 1 species